AUUUUGGGCAAUGGGGGAAACCCUGAUCCAGGCAUUCCGCGUGUAAGAUGAAGGCCUUUGGGUUUUAAAGUACUUUUUGCAGAGAAGAAAAGGUAUCCCCUAAUACCAGAUACUUCUGACGGUAACUGCAGAAUAAGGCCCGGGCAACUACCUUCCAACAGCCGCGGUAAUACGUAGGGUGCAAGCGUUAAUCGGAAUUACUGGGCGUAAAGCGUGUGUAGGCGGUUCGGAAAGAAAGAUGUGAAAUCCCAGGGCUCAACCUUGGAACUGCAUUUUUAACUGCCGAGCUAGAGUAUGUCAGAGGGGGGUAGAAUUCCACGUGUAGCAGUGAAAUGCGUAGAUAUGUGGAGGAAUACCGAUGGCGAAGGCAGCCCCCUGGGAUAAUACUGACGCUCAGACACGAAAGCGUGGGGAGCAAACA
rnacentral:rRNA from 1 species